UACGUAGGGGCCUAGCGUUGUCCGGAUUUAUUGGGCGUAAAGAGCUCGUAGGCGGCUUGUCGCGUCGUCCGUGAAAACUUGGGGCUCAACCCCAAGCUUGCGGUCGAUACGGGCAGGCUAGAGUUCGGUAGGGGAGACUGGAAUUCCUGGUGUAGCGGUGAAAUGCGCAGAUAUCAGGAGGAACACCGGUGGCGAAGGCGGGUCUCUGGGCCGAUACUGACGCUGAGGAGCGAAAGCGUGGGGAGCGAACAGG
rnacentral:rRNA from 1 species